rnacentral:lncRNA from 1 species
CUGUGAGAAGUGCGGAGGUCUCUGCCCUGGGUGGGUCAUAUUCUGGGGGUCAUGCCCUCUGGUCCUGGGUUCCAGUUUGCCUCCCUGAGCCUUUGGUGAAGUCUCCUCUGGUGGUCUGGCCCUCACACCUGUGCCCUGUGUAUCAAGAGGGCCCCGCCGGCCAUCCUGGGCCUGAGCACUGGAGAAAUGGUGCCUCCCACCCGGCCGUGUCAGGCCUGCCCACCACCCUGUCCAGCACUGUCUCCAUCUUGCAUGGACUUUGGACGCUUGGGGUUUACUUUAUCAAGAGAAGUGGCGUCUCCUUAUGGACACUGAGACACCUGCUGGGGACUGGUCAGGACUCAAUGUCCUAGAGAUACCCUGGGGCCAAGGGGCCUGGGCAGGUGUGGAGCCAGGACUGGCUGCUUGGCCUGAGUCUUGGGUCACUGCUAGAGAGGGGUCUUCCUUCAGGAGAGAGCUCUCCAGCAACAGCCACCCAGAGGAGCAGCCACAGAGGCCACUGGUCCCGAGGCCCACAGGAAUCAGGCCAUGCCACCUCCUCUCGCCCCACCUGCCCCCUGGGUGCAGAGGACUGCUGGGAAACAGGCCAGUGAUGGGGCCGGUGGAGCACGCCUACCUGACCUACUGCCCUUUCCAAAUUGACCUUAAUCAGGCUCUCUCUGUUCCCCAUUUCUUGCAGCUGAAGCAGUUUCUUUCUGGAGUCCUCCUGAAGUUUCUCUUCCACCUGAAAGGAUGAGGAAAGCCUGUGUCUGGGGCUCAUGUGGCUCCAAUGCACCCUGGGGAGACUCCACUGGGAGGUCUAAUGGCCUGGGUCCCUCAGGGGCAGAGGGACAGCUGCAGCCCAUGCAGGGGUCACGAGUGAGCACUAUCCCCUGGGACAAGGAGCAGGCUCUGUGCCUUGGGCUUCACUGUUGGUCCUACCCCAGACUCCAAUCCAUCAUGGUCCCUGUGACCUCAGGAAAGCCCCACCACUGGUCCAUGACUUAAGUGUCCUCACCUGUCGGAAGGGGACGGUGGUACAGAGCUGCCUUGCAGGGUUACCGCGGGUUAAGGACCGUUAGAAAGCUCUGGCCCUUCGCAAGGGCUCGGCAAGUGUGUCAGGCGUGGUUGUGACUUGUAAGAGGGGGUUGGGGACAUACCAUGUGGCAUCAUGCUAACAUCCUCAGUAACGGGCCCACGGGGGAUUGGCCAAUGCUACUGUUGGGUUUACUUAUAAGUAUUCGCCAUGAACUUUUAGCACGUUCGCCCGUGGAGACGCUCUGGGUGGCUGGCUGAGCACUGGCUGGUGGAGAAUCGCAGCCGGCAGAGCAGGCACUUGGCUCUCGGCUCCCCACGGCUCCCUUGAGCAGGAGGGGAGCCUGGGAGUGUUCAGUGCUGCCCUCUGCUGGCCGUCAGGGGACCCUGCAGCCUCUCUAUUCAGUUUUGAAUAGUAAGUGUCUGCUUUUUGAGCACCUGCGGUGGCACAGGACCCUGGCACUACUCAGAUAGGAGGCAAAUGCCAAGUGAAAGGAUUUGUGCUGAAGCAACUUUGCAAACCAUCCAUCAGGAAGCUGGAGGCGGGGACAGAGGCACCUGCCUGAGGGCGGGGGCAAGGGAUGCCGUCCUGACUUCUGUGUCAGAGGCAUGGAGGCCAUGCCCGGCCUUGGAGGUGCUGUGUGCCCCUCAUCUUAGCCCCAAACCCAGGGCCGUCCUCAGCUGCCACCUGCUCCAGCUCUACCUCCCAGUGUCCCCAAGCCUGUCUGUGCUGUCCCCCAUGUCACUAACAGAGCCACAGAACAUCAGUACAUUCGGUCAGCAGAGAUUUACUGGGUUCCUGUCCUUUACCCGGCCUCAGACCAGGCACUGAGAACCUCCCUCCUGCAAGAAGUGGCUUCCCAGCCUCUGCAUUUCCUUCCA